rnacentral:sRNA from 1 species
GUAAUCCCAGCACUUUGGGAGGCCAAGGCAGGAGGAUCACCUGUGGUCAGGAGUUCAAGACCAGCCUGAUCAACAAGGUGAAACCCCGUCUCUACUAAAAAAAAAUACAAAAAUUAGCUGGGCGAGGCUGAGACAGGAGAAUUGCUUGAACCCGGGAGGCAGAGGUUGCAGUGAGCUGAGAUUGCACCACUGCACUCCAGCCUGGGUGACAGAGUGAGACUCCAUUUCAAAAAAAGAAAGAAAGAAAGGUAUAACACAAGCCUAAGUGUGGAGGCAUUCGUGUGGCAGAUGCACAUCUACGUGAACUUUGCUGCCUUUCUUGGGGACAUUGCCCUGGACGAAGAGGACCUGAGGGCCUUCCAGGUACAGCAGGCUGCGGAUCUCAGACAACACACAGCUCGUAAGUCCUCCAUCAAAGCUGCAGUUGCAGGAAACACUUCUACCCCCAGCUGCCAGAGCACCAACGGGCAGCCUCAGAGGGGAGCCUGUGGGAGAUGGAGAGGUAGAUCCCGUAGCCGGCGGGCGGCGACGUCCCGACCAGAGCGUGUGUGGCCCGAUGGGGUCAUCCCCUUUGUCAUUGGGGGAAACUUCACUGGUAGCCAGAGGGCAGUCUUCCGGCAGGCCAUGAGGCACUGGGAGAAGCACACCUGUGUCACCUUCCUGGAGCGCACCGACGAGGACAGCUAUAUUGUGUUCACCUAUCGACCUUGCGGCUCGGGACCGCCCCCCUGAGCUGGCCCCGCCCUCCAGGUGCUGCUCCUACGUGGGUCGCCGCGGCGGGGGCCCCC